rnacentral:lncRNA from 1 species
CUGCCUCCACUGGCCUGCCCCAUUUGUGGGUUUUGGUACCCGCCCUGCAUUCCCGGCUGACUUCCGUAGCUGCCAGCACCCUGAUUUCCAUACCCACCCUGCAUUCCCUGCAUUCCAUGUGCCGCAGGCGGCAUAGCCUGGUUCACUGGUGCACCACCAAGACCUCCAAGCAGAUUGGUGAGCCCCAGUCCUGCCCCUUGUGAAGCAAGCAAUGCAGUCAAUGCUUGCCCAAGAGCCGGGUUCAAAGCUGGUGCAACACCUGGGUUCAAAGUCAUUGAUGGCCCUGAUGGUGCCAUCAGGUGCCCUGGGCCAGCGGCGUUGGCUGAGUAUUUUGAUUUGUCCUUCCUUGAAGGGUAAUGUGGUUGGUGUUGGUGGUGGUGAUGGUGGAAAGGCUUAUUUGGCUUCGGCCCAUCAAUUGCCUUCUGGCAAUGCAGUGUGUGACCCUCAAAAAUUUUGUGUGGCUCCUCCAAUGCCCUCCUCGAGCUCUCAAUCGACUUGUAAACGAACAAAGCGAAACCCUUGGGCUUCCCAGUCGACUUAUCUAAGCCUAAUGGACCCUCCUCGAUUUCCCCAAACUUCGCAAAGAACUCUAGUAGCUUCUGCGGAUCGAUCUCCGAAGAAACAUUGCUCACAAAAAUCUUUCUUUGAGUAUACUCAGACACCGGAGGUACCACCGGUGGCGGCGCUGGAACGGGGCCGGCAGAGGCUAGCUGGCACGAGGUCAUCCGAUUUCCAAUCUUCUUCUGCGGCUGCUUCAGCGCCUUGCGAGCGCCGCUCCGGUGCUUGAACAGAAUAAAGGCGUAUCCCUUGGAUUUUCCGGAGAUCUUGUCCGAUACGGCCUUGCAGUCUUCAAUCUCACCAUACUUGCCAAACACAGAGGUUAGGGUUUCUGCGGUCGUGUCCC